rnacentral:rRNA from 1 species
UACAGAGGGUGCGAGCGUUGUCCGGAAUCACUGGGCGUAAAGGGCGCGUAGGCGGCCUGAUAAGUAGGGGGUGAAAUCUUGCGGCUCAACCGCAAGGCUGCCUUCUAAACUGUCAGGCUGGAGCACGGUAGAGGCAGAUGGAAUUCCCGGUGUAGCGGUGGAAUGCGUAGAGAUCGGGAAGAACACCAAAGGCGAAAGCGCUCUGCUGGGCCGAAACUGACACUGAGAGACGAAAGCUAGGGGAGCGAAUGGG